CACAUCCUGGAGGCCACAGUCCUGUCAGGAAUGUACCUGCUAUGGAGACGUGUCCAUCUGCAAGACCCCCCACUGCCCGAACCCACAGUGUGACUUCCAGAGGGGCGAGCAUUUGAGAAUCGCUGCCAACAAGUGCUGUCCAGAGUGCAUCUCCUCGUCCCAGGGUUCCUGCCAGUACGAGGGAGUCGUCCAUGGACAUGACAGCCAGUGGAGUCCCUCGCCAUGUUCGCUGUGUGUUUGCUCCAGAGGGAGUGCAUCGUGCAACCCUCGCCCCUGCCCCCCUCUCAGCUGUCCAGAGGACGAGAGCCCGUUCACUCCGGCCAGGGAGUGCUGUCCCAAGUGUGGCCGCGGUGGAGAGUCUUGCUCCUGGCAGGGGGUUGUGUACAGGGAUGGUGAGGAGUGGAAGCCCAGCCUCUGUUCCAGAUGUGUCUGCAGUGAUGGGGGCGUCCAGUGUUCGGUGGCAGAGUGUCAGCAAGUGGCCUGCAAACCUCACGAGAACUUGGUGAUUCAGCCUGGACGAUGUUGUCCUCAGUGUGUGUCCGACCCCUGUCUGUCUGCUGGGAAACAGCACCAG